rnacentral:rRNA from 1 species
CAAUCCCUGACCGGCGAACGGGUGCGUAACACGUGAGCGACCUUCCGUCUUCUGGGGGAUAGCCGGCCCAACGGCCGGGUAAUACCGCAUACGCUCCCUUGGCCGCAUGGCGGGGGGAGGAAACUUCUGGGGGAGGACGAGGGGCUCGCGGCCUAUCAGCUAGUUGGGGGGGUAACGGCCUCCCAAGGCGACGACGGGUAGCUGGUCUGAGAGGAUGGCCAGCCACAUUGGGACUGAGAGACGGCCCAG